ACGCUCGACACCUACUGGAGGCAGCAGUGGGGAAUAUUGCACAAUGGGGGAAACCCUGAUGCAGCGACGCCGCGUGAGCGAAGAAGUAUUUCGGUAUGUAAAGCUCUAUCAGCAGGGAAGAUCAUGACGGUACCUGACUAAGAAGCUCCGGCUAAAUACGUGCCAGCAGCCGCGGUAAUCUGAGCGGGCUGGCAAGGC
rnacentral:rRNA from 1 species